UGGUGGAGUGAUUUGUCUGGUUAAUUCCGAUAACGAACGAGACCUCAGCCUGCUAACUAGUUGUGCGAGUCUUCGGACCCGUCCAUAACUUCUUAGAGGGACUGUCGGUGCGUAGCCGAAGGAAGCGUGAGGCAAUAACA
rnacentral:rRNA from 1 species